rnacentral:lncRNA from 1 species
GGUCCCGCGGGCCCCGAGCUACCGCUGGCACCCCUUAUUUUAACGCCUGUUAGGAUCGCUCCCUUCUACUUAAUUCUACAGGGGCCCGGAGAAUCUAAUUUCGCCGAGCCCGGAGCAUUCACCGGCUUGCCGACCGGCCGGCGGUGUUAUCCUUUCUCGCUUCUGUCCCGCGUGAAAAUGCAGUUGACAUUUAUCGAAGGAAGGCUUACGGCGUGGUAGACAGGGCAUUUAUUACGCGAUUCGGUGGCGUUAACUCAUUUAAUAACCUUCAAACUCCUGGAAAUUGGUGCUUUUAUUCUCUGUGUCUUACAGAGAAGGAAAUCGGCCAAAGUAUCGGACUUUACCACAUAUGCUGGCUCUUGGUUUUACUUUAAUUUGUGGUAUGCGUAGAACUCUCAUUUGCCCCAAACAAGACUUUUCAAAUUAUUCAAAGACGGGAGCCAAAUUAUUUCCCUAUAUGGGUCAUCCUUUGCACUUUAAACAAAGGCUGAGAUGAUGGGCUAUGCAAUCUUAGUGCCAGGAUCCUGUUUCUUUACAUUUCACCCUGGUGUGUGUGUGUGUCGUGUUCAUCUCUGGAUUGUAGACGUUAAAAAUAAUAUAAUGCAUAACGCAAUAGUAAGCAUUUCAAAGUACCCAGGACUGAGUACGUCCGCACAAUUCUUAUACCUAACCAGUAACUAGCAAUAGAGAAGACCUGGGCACUUUUGAAACUUACCAAAGACAGACAGUAUGAGAGCCUACAGAGUCAGUGUCAGGCAAAGAAGUGAGACGAUCUUAAAAGAUUUGCUCUGUCACAAAAUCAAGAAACAUCAAAUAUUAAAGGCAGGUUUUCAGUAUGAAGCAAAGCCCCACAUGGAAGAAAAGGGCUCAAACCUGACAAGCUAUUUUGUUUCCAGCAGUCUAAAAAGGCUGAGGCAGGGAGAGUCCGGAGAGUUUCUAGCCAGCCUAAGCUUUACAGUGAGUUUCCAGACAAAGGUGGCCAGGACUAUGAAGCAAGACUCUUGUCCAAAAAGAAGGAGAGGAGGAGGAAAAAAGGAAGAGCAAAAAAGAAAAGAGUUUCUUAGCAUGCAUAGUGUCUGUUAAAUACUGCAGGGACAAGUGUUAAGACAAUCUGCUUUGAGAAAGGCAGAGUAAAAGAAAACCCCUUAUUACAAAUUUAAGAUGCAAACAAUGCCAUCACUAUUGCUGUAUAUAAAGUACUGCCUUGUGCUUUAUGUAAUUGCAGAAGUGUUUGUAAACACUUCCAGAAUUCUCAAGUUCAAGCAGCCUUUCAUGCCUCCUAGUAGACUGAAGAAGAAGAAG